UACGGAGGGUGCAAGCGUUAUCCGGAAUCACUGGGUUUAAAGGGUGCGUAGGCGGUUUGUUAAGUCUGUAUUUAAAGCCGGUCGCUUAACGAUACGGAUGGUAUGGAUACUGACAGACUUGAAUCAGUUUGAGGUGGCUGGAAUGUUACAUGUAGCGGUGAAAUGCUUAGAUAUGUGAUAGAACACCAAUUGCGAAGGCAGGUCACUAAGACUCGAUUGACGCUGAGGCACGAAAGCGUGGGGAUCAAACAGG
rnacentral:rRNA from 1 species